rnacentral:rRNA from 1 species
GAUCAUGGCUCAGGACGAACGCUGGCGGCGUGCUUAACACAUGCAAGUCGAACGAGGAUUAGCGGAUUGAGAGUUCGACAGGAUUGAAGCUAAUUCGAGUGGCGGACGGGUGAGUAACGCGUGAGCAAUCUGUCCCAGACAGGGGGAUAACACUUGGAAACAGGUGCUAAUACCGCAUAAGACCACGGCAUCGCAUGGUGCAGGGGUAAAAGGAGGAAUCCGGUUUGGGGUGAGUUCGCGUCCGAUUAGAUAGUUGGUGAGGUAACGGCCCACCAAGUCGACGAUCGGUAGCCGACCUGAGAGGGUGAUCGGCCACAUUGGAACUGAGAGACGGUCCAAACUCCUACGGGAGGCAGCAGUGGGGAAUAUUGGGCAAUGGGCGAAAGCCUGACCCAGCAACACCGCGUGAGUGAUGAAGGCCUUCGGGUUGUAAAGCUCUGUUAUAGGGGACGAAGGAAGUGACGGUACCCUAUAAGGAAGCCCCGGCUAACUACGUGCCAGCCGCUGC